UCCCUGGUGGUCCAGUGGUUAAGACUCUGUGCUUGCACUGCAGGGGGCAUGGGUUCUAUCCCUGUUCAGGGAA
rfam:Ovis aries breed Texel chromosome 3, whole genome shotgun sequence.